UACGUAGGUGGCAAGCGUUAUCCGGAAUUAUUGGGCGUAAAGCGAGCGCAGGCGGUUGUUUAGGUCUGAUGUGAAAGCCUUCGGCUUAACCGAAGAAGUGCAUCGGAAACCGGGCGACUUGAGUGCAGAAGAGGACAGUGGAACUCCAUGUGUAGCGGUGGAAUGCGUAGAUAUAUGGAAGAACACCAGUGGCGAAGGCGGCUGUCUGGUCUGCAACUGACGCUGAGGCUCGAAAGCAUGGGUAGCGAACAGG
rnacentral:rRNA from 1 species